CCCUUAGAUGUUCUGGGCCGCACGCGCGCUACACUGAUGCAUUCAACGAGUUUUUCCUUGGCCGAGAGGCCUGGGCAAUCUUUUAAACGUGCAUCGUGAUAGGGAUAGAUUAUUGCAAUUAUUAAUCUUGAACGAGGAAUUCCUAGUAAACGCAGAUCAUCAAUCUGCAUUGAUUACGUCCCUGCCCUUUGUACACACCGCCCGUCGCACCUACCGAUUGAAUGGUCCGGUGAAGCUUCGGGAUUGUGGCGAGUUCCCUUUAUUGGGAGUUUGUCGCGAGAACUUGUCUAAACCUUAUCAUUUAGAGGAAGGUGAAGUCGUAACA
rnacentral:rRNA from 1 species